rnacentral:rRNA from 1 species
GUGCAGUCGAGCGGACAGAAGGGAGCUUGCUCCCGGAUGUUAGCGGCGGACGGGUGAGUAACACGUGGGUAACCUGCCUGUAAGACUGGGAUAACUCCGGGCAAACCGGAGCUAAUACCGGAUAGUUCCUUGAACCGCAUGGUUCAAGGAUGAAAGACGGUUUCGGCUGUCACUUACAGAUGGACCCGCGGCGCAUUAGCUAGUUGGUGGGGUAAUGGCUCACCAAGGCGACGAUGCGUAGCCGACCUGAGAGGGUGAUCGGCCACACUGGGACUGAGACACGGCCCAGACUCCUACGGGAGGCAGCAGUAGGGAAUCUUCCGCAAUGGCCGAAAGUCUGACGGAGCAACGCCGCGUGAGUGAUGAAGGUUUUCGGAUCGUAAAGCUCUGUUGUUAGGGAAGAACAAGUGCGAGAGUAACUGCUCGCACCUUGACGGUACCUAACCAGAAAGCCACGGCUAACUACGUGCCAGCAGCCGCGGUAAUAC